rnacentral:lncRNA from 1 species
GGGGCUUUAACGGGACUCCGGGAUCGAGUGUUUUAACACGGGAUUUCGGGAUUUAUCCUUUCCGGAUGGCAGGAUUUUUAUUUGUAUAAAUUCGGGACCUCGGGAUUUCAUGUUUUAAAGUCCGGGAUUUCGAGAUCAGGACCUCUGCCACCCCUACCCCCCUUACAAAUGCAUAUCAUGAGAUGUCUUUUCCUUUUUAAUUUUCUUUUGGCCUUGUGUUGUUGUCUGGUUGCUGUCUUAUUGAAGUACUAACUACUUACGGGAUUUACAUUUUACUUUAAGUACUGAAAGUCUGUGACACUUUGCAUAUAUUUCAGUAGGUAUAUAUAGUAGUAGUAUGAUAUAGAGAUGAUCGAUAUAAUCUCAUUCUCAACCUUCAAGUUUUAUGAGUGAAAUAGAGAGAACAGUUCUAUUUUAUAUUUGAGAUGCUACUUUCAGCUAGGGUACAUUUU